GUGAUGGGGUGUUUGUGGGCUCUGUCACACGACCAUUACCUCACUGCUGCGACUCAGAAGGAAGAGCGGAGGACAGUAAGCUGCUGAGCCUGCUUCCGGGAAGUUAUCCAGUCAACGUUACCUGUCUUCACGACAGCUCUUCUAGUAUCUGGAUCCACUGGGCCAUAAAACAGACCAGUCAGCUGCUGUUCACUGCGAACUAUUUGCUUCAUGAAAAUACUGUUCUGUCUUUACCCCAGGGUCCUUAUAAAUAGCAGAAGCCCUUCUGCUAUUUGGGAAUAAUCUCAUUUACAAAGACUAGAACACACCAGGUCUCUCUGAGGCAAGAAGUGGCUAGCUGCAGCAGAACCUGAUGGCUCUCUGGGGUAAAGCCUCCGUGAUAGAGUAGAAUGUUGUUCUGAAUAUUGAGGGAUCCUGGAUAAGGACCACGGUAAUGAUUGCCUGAGGAGAGUGGGCCUGGACUCCAAGAAGGUCCCGAGAGGCGCAGGUGGGAAAGCUCCUGGAGGCCUUGCUGAACCACAGACAUAAACUCAUACUGCUUAUUGAGAUAAGUCAUGCAAGUAUGUCCCGAAGAAUGUCCCGAAGAAGGAGAAUCCAACUGUUUCUACCCAAAGGAGAAAGGAAUGAUGGGUAAAAAUCUAUAAGGAGGCGGACGGCAGGCAUAAAGCUCACAUGUGGCAGUGGAACUCGGACUGCUUUUGGCGGAAAGAUUUAUGGCAACAAAGAAGUAACGAGUGUGUGUCAGCAAAGCCGUCUCCUUCCGUCUGUGACACCCUCGUCAGAGUACCACCUCCAAGAAGCAAGGCCACUCAUCCACAUGGUGAAAGCAGAGAGUGGCCCAGCCCAAGGUCAUUUCCACCAGGAGAAACCUCAAAUGGCUCAGAGAAAUUUUUUUACACUUUAAAAAAAUUAUCAAAUACUUAACAAAUGUCAACAACAGAACCUUAAAGCCAUGCAGCAAAAUGCCACAUCCACCUGGACAGGCUUUGGGAGCUGGAGAGGCAGCUCCCAGCCUUCAAGGAAAGUUUUCUAAAUGUCCCCCCAGGGGGCCCGUAGGCCCCUGAGAAUAAUACAUGGAAAUAUGAUUA
rnacentral:lncRNA from 1 species